rnacentral:rRNA from 1 species
AGCAGCCGCGGUAAUUCCAGCUCCAAUAGCGUAUAUUAAAGUUGUUGCAGUUAAAAAGCUCGUAGUUGAAUUUCGAGAUCAAAUUGUUGGUCGUGCCUUGGUACGCACUGGCAUUAUUGGUUUCUCCCUUCUGACGAACCAUGAUGUCAUUAAUUUGGUGUCUUGGGGAAUCAGGACUGUUACUUUGAAAAAUUAGAGUGUUUAAAGCAGGCUCACGCUUGAAUACAUUAGCAUGGAAUAAUGAAAUAGGACGUUUGAUUCUAUUUUGUUGGUUUCUAGGAUCGACGUAAUGAUUAAUAGGGAUAGUUGGGGCAUUAGUAUUCAAUUGUCAGAGGUGAAAUUCUUGGAUUUAUUGAAGACUGACUACUGCGAAAGCAUUUGCCAAGGAUGUUUUACAUUAAUCAAGAACGAAAGUUAGGGGAUCGAAGACGAUCAGAUACCGUCGUAGUC